rnacentral:lncRNA from 1 species
CGGCGCCCACCCAGGCCAGGCCGCCACCCCGUUGGCUGCAGUCGCUGCGGGCCUCGUCGUACGAGACGUUGGCCAGACUUUAAAUUAUUUGUGUGCUAUAGAAGAGGGAGAAGAUUUCAGAGGAUCUUUCUAUCUGGCACACAGAAAAGGAUUAAGCACGUCUCCAUCCCCAGCUGAGUUAGGAACACGGUGCAUUUGACAGAUUGCUCCUUUGAAGUCGAUGCUAAAUUGAGGCCUGUCUGCAAUAUUCAGAUUGCUUUACAAAGGAAAGAACUCUUACAAAAACAUCCAGAGAAACAGUGCUUUUUGCUCAAAUGCUCUGCAUUAGCCUCUUGCACAUCAGGAUCAGGAUGACAAUGUUUGUUGCUGCAAAGCCAGUGAAAAUCAACCACUUUUAAAUGUAUUGGUUUUAGCCUUAGCUGCUCUUUAUGCCCGUGUGUGAAAAAGGGAUUAAUUCUCAAAGACUUAUAUUUCAAUUGUAAUAAAAUUUAAGAGAAUGAAUAUACUUAAUCUCA